CCUCAUACAGGGGGAGUAACAGUUAGAAAUGACUGCUAAUACCGCAUAAGACCACAGUACCGCAUGGUACAGUGAUCAAAGGAUUUAUUCGCUGAAGGAUGGCUUCGCGUCCGAUUAGGUAGUUGGUGAGGUAACGGCCCACCAAGCCUACGAUCGGUAGCCGGACUGAGAGGUUGAUCGGCCACAUUGGGACUGAGACACGGCCCAGACCCCUACGGGAGGCAGCAUG
rnacentral:rRNA from 1 species